UAGGGAAUCUUCGGCAAUGGACGAAAGUCUGACCGAGCAACGCCGCGUGAGUGAAGAAGGUUUUCGGAUCGUAAAACUCUGUUGGUAGAGAAGAACGUUGGUGAGAGUGGAAAGCUCAUCAAGUGACGGUAACUACCCAGAAAGGGACGGCUAACUACGUGCCAGCAGCCGCGGUAAUACGUAGGUCCCGAGCGUUGUCCGGAUUUAUUGGGCGUAAAGCGAGCGCAGGUGGUUUAUUAAGUCUGGUGUAAAAGGCAGUGGCUCAACCAUUGUAUGCAUUGGAAACUGGUAGACUUGAGUGCAGGAGAGGAGAGUGGAAUUCCAUGUGUAGCGGUGAAAUGCGUAGAUAUAUGGAGGAACACCGGUGGCGAAAGCGGCUCUCUGGCCUGUAACUGACACUGAGGCUCGAAAGCGUGGGGAGCAAACAGGAUUAGAUAGCCCUG
rnacentral:rRNA from 1 species